CCGCGGCCUGGAGCCCGGCGCCGCCGCCGCCGCGCCGCCGCCGCCCGCGCCGCUCGGCAGUGUGGCGCGGGAGCAGCCGCCAGGCCGUCCCGAUGCGCGCGCCAGGAGCCCCGCAGGCUGGGGAGCCGCCGCCGCCGCCGCCGCCGCGCCAGGUAGUGGCCGUUGCACUGCGGGAGGCCGCGGGCCCACCAGAGCAUGGGCAGGGAAGCGAUGGGACCACACACAAACUCAGGUCCGGGUACCCGAUUUCGCAGCCAAGCCAAUCAGUGAGAAGUCAGGGUUGCAGCAAGGAAAGAGGUUUAUGAUCAAGAGGCGGCCAGACAAGGAGGACGGGACGGCGACGAGAUUUGGGGAGUCUUUCGAGGAGCCGGUGAGAGACGAGGCGAUGACUGGAUGGCUGACGAGGAGUCGAGGUCUUUUGGCAGCAGCUUAGCCGUGAAAGGUAGAGAGAGAAGGCGGAUGGUGGAGGAGCGGAAAGGAGAGGUGUGGA
rnacentral:lncRNA from 1 species